GAAAGAUGGUUAACUAUAUAUGUGUAGUAAGUCCGAUGUCAGGGGAAACCCUCAUAGAGAUCUGUAGCGAUUCUGACGAGCAAAUCGAUGGCUGGAACUGGGUAAAGGGGCGAAAGAUUAGUUAAACUGUCUGAAGC
rnacentral:ncRNA from 1 species